AAAAUACGAUUUUCUUGAGUUUUGAAUAGAAAAUAAUCAUCAUAUCGUUUAAUACAGCAUAUCAAAUCGAAUCAUUUUUCUACAGUAACAAGAAAUUACAGCAACAGUGUUUCCAACAGACAGAUGAACUACACAAUUUUCCGAACGUAUGUCGAUUAGUUUUCUGACGUAAAUCCAGGUCUUCAUUGUUUACGUGAUUACAAUGUUAAAGUUGUGAGUGCCUGCAGUUGUGAAAGUGGUUGAAACAUCUAGAACAGCGUGGAAAAACAUUCGUUCCCAAUGAAAACGUCCAGCGCUCUAAUUAGUACCCGCCUUUCAAUAUAUCAGGUUAGAUUUGUAUAUGCUAAACGAACAUAACUGAUCAAAAAGUAGGGUUAAAGGCUACACUUUUAUUUUGAUACUCAGGAUGGAGCACCACUGCACUGGCACCAUCUUGUAAGAGUAUUUCAUCGUCCUACAUGCUUCCCCUUCCAACAUCUUUGGGUGAACUACGACGCCACAUAGCAGAAUCAGUGAAUGCAGUAAAUCGAGACAUAUACAUAAAGUAAAGAAUUUGUUUAUCAGCUGGAUGCUUUUCAUGCAUCAGGUGGAGGGCACACUGGAAUUUAUGAAAACUGCUGAUGUGAGAGGGAUGGAAAAUGUUUCUAAAAGAAGAAUAUGGGAGUUAUUGCUGGGAUCUGCACACCAUUUUACACAGAACUUUGUCAUGGCGGUAAUUAAGGUGUUUACAAUGAGAAUGUUCAAGAAAGAAUUUUAAAUUCACCUUCUACAAUUUUUAAUGAUACAACAGUAUCAAACAGUUAACAGUAAAUUCCUUGCCUUUUCUCUUAGUAACAUGUUUCCGUGUCAACUUUCUCUAUAAAUAAUUUAAAUAUAGAAUUAGACCUUGUGUGCUUGUUACCUUUGUGAAAUCACAAUUAUGUGUGUGGCAUUUGUUCUUUCUAACAUGUCGAAAAGAACAGACACUACAAAUAUAAUGGUACUAAUUAUAA